rnacentral:rRNA from 1 species
GAUGAACGCUGGCGGCGUGCCUAAUACAUGCAAGUCGAGCGAACGGACGAGAAGCUUGCUUCUCUGAUGUUAGCGGCGGACGGGUGAGUAACACGUGGAUAACCUACCUAUAAGACUGGGAUAACUUCGGGAAACCGGAGCUAAUACCGGAUAAUAUUUUGAACCGCAUGGUUCAAAAGUGAAAGACGGUCUUGCUGUCACUUAUAGAUGGAUCCGCGCUGCAUUAGCUAGUUGGUAAGGUAACGGCUUACCAAGGCAACGAUGCAUAGCCGACCUGAGAGGGUGAUCGGCCACACUGGAACUGAGACACGGUCCAGACCCCUACGGGAGGCAGCAGUAGGGAAUCUUCCGCAAUGGGCGAAAGCCUGACGGAGCAACGCCGCGUGAGUGAUGAAGGUCUUCGGAUCGUAAAACUCUGUUAUUAGGGAAGAACAUAUGUGUAAGUAACUGUGCACAUCUUGACGGUACCUAAUCAGAAAGCCACGGCUAACUACGUGCCAGCAGCCGCGGUAAUACGUAGGUGGCAAGCGUUAUCCGGAAUUAUUGGGCGUAAAGCGCGCGUAGGCGGUUUUUUAAGUCUGAUGUGAAAGCCCACGGCUCAACCGUGGAGGGUCAUUGGAAACUGGAAAACUUGAGUGCAGAAGAGGAAAGUGGAAUUCCAUGUGUAGCGGUGAAAUGCGCAGAGAUAUGGAGGAACACCAGUGGCGAAGGCGACUUUCUGGUCUGUAACUGACGCUGAUGUGCGAAAGCGUGGGGAUCAAACAGGAUUAGAUACCCUGGUAGUCCACGCCGUAAACGAUGAGUGCUAAGUGUUAGGGGGUUUCCGCCCCUUAGUGCUGCAGCUAACGCAUUAAGCACUCCGCCUGGGGAGUACGACCGCAAGGUUGAAACUCAAAGGAAUUGACGGGGACCCGCACAAGCGGUGGAGCAUGUGGUUUAAUUCGAAGCAACGCGAAGAACCUUACCAAAUCUUGACAUCCUUUGACGACUCUAGAGAUAGAGCCUUCCCCUUCGGGGGACAAAGUGACAGGUGGUGCAUGGUUGUCGUCAGCUCGUGUCGUGAGAUGUUGGGUUAAGUCCCGCAACGAGCGCAACCCUUAAGCUUAGUUGCCAUCAUUAAGUUGGGCACUCUAAGUUGACUGCCGGUGACAAACCGGAGGAAGGUGGGGAUGACGUCAAAUCAUCAUGCCCCUUAUGAUUUGGGCUACACACGUGCUACAAUGGACAAUACAAAGGGCAGCGAAACCGCGAGGUCAAGCAAAUCCCAUAAAGUUGUUCUCAGUUCGGAUUGUAGUCUGCAACUCGACUACAUGAAGCUGGAAUCGCUAGUAAUCGUAGAUCAGCAUGCUACGGUGAAUACGUUCCCGGGUCU